rnacentral:lncRNA from 1 species
CUUUCUUUACAGCUUCAGUUUUCUUUUGUAGCAGGUUUGCACGAUGCUGUUCCUGUAGCUCUCUUCCUACCACUUCUCAAGAUGUCAAGGCCAAGUGCAGGAAGAGGGUUGUAACCCUGGGGAAACACAUGUACUUCCAUGCAGAGGUUCAAAAGAGAACUGACUGCACCAUGUGGGAACAGAGACAUCUCCAGAAGACAUGGAGAACCUCACCUGGACUGCAUACACCUGCAUCAGAGUGUAGAAUGGAAGACAGCAUUUUGCAGAUUAUCAGUAAGGGUCCCUGGAGGAAUGUCUGCAGGAGAGGACCCAUCAUUGGUGGGCCAUGGUUUCCAGAGUACUCCCUGUCAGCCAGUGGUGUGCCCACCACAAAGCAGCAGGUGCCAGGCAUGAGGGAGGAGGGUGAGUGAGAACAAAGUACAUGCAUGUCCACUGGGAAGGGGUAAGCAAGGCAGCCCAGCCCAGGCAUGGGCCACAUCUUGGAGAAUAUUUGUCCAUGUACUGCUCAUACACUGAAUAGCAGGAGAUGUUUGAAGUUUGUUCAAGGAAAAAACAUUCAGGUUUAAUUAAUUCAAUGCAUGAUAAAAAAAUAUGAAAUAAUCUUCUGCAUAUUCUUUGUUCUGGAGAAAAAAUUUGGUUGUAAUUUUGAAAACGUGGUUUAUUUAACACAAGACUUUGGUAUUUUUAUGUGACUGUUGAAUCAAAUGUGCUAAAGUUGGAAAUCUAAAGGUUUCAAAUAAUUCAUUUUAAUUACUGAAGCAUCACUUAAUCAAAAUAAUCUUCCAUGGUAAUAAUUAUCAUUGUCAGUCCUUUUCUAACACAUACUUAAAUAUUUCAUGUAUUAAUAUCAAACUUGAUUACCAUACUUCCUGAGAGCUACAAGCUGCUGCAUUGCAGUUGCUGAGGUAGUGCUAUCUGAACAGCUCAAAAUGAGCUCAUUUGGGUACUGGAAGCCAGCAAAACACUGGAAACACAGCGGUUUGUUUGGGUUAAUAUAACCUAUUAAGAAGCAUGAUAAAUUAGUCUCUAUGGAAUUUCUUGCUAUCGCAGUUUGACUGCUUCUGGAACCUGAGGUAGAGCAUUUUAUUUUGGCUGGCGAGCUGCAAUGAUAAUGUAUCUCAUAAAUUUCGAGUCUGGAAUAAUUCCUCAAGAAAUAACAGAGCUGUUUAGCUGUAAAGACAAAAUAAACAGUUGAAUUGAGGAACCCA